rnacentral:rRNA from 1 species
UGCAUAGGAAUCUACCUAGUAGUAUAGGAUAGCCACUAGAAGUGGUGGGUAAUACUGUAUAAUCCCUGCGGGGGAAAGAUUUAUCGCUACAUGAUGAGCCUAUGUUAGAUUAGCUAGUUGGUGGGGUAAUGGCCUACCAAGGCAGUGAUCUAUAGCUGGUCUGAGAGGAUGAUCAGCCACACUGGAACUGAGACACGGUCCAGACUCCUACGGGAGGCAGCAGUGGGGAAUAUUGGACAAUGGGCGCAAGCCUGAUCCAGCUAUGCCGCGUGAGUGAGGAAGGCCUUAGGGUUGUAAAACUCUUUCAGUGGGGAAGAUAAUGACGGUACCCACAGAAGAAGUCCCGGCAAACUCCGUGCCAGCAGCCGCGGUAAUACGGAGGGGGCAAGCGUUGUUCGGAAUUAUUGGGCGUAAAGGGCAUGUAGGUGGUUUGGUAAGUUAAAGGUGAAAUGCCAGGGCUUAACCCUGGAGCUGCUUUUAAUACUGCCAGACUGGAGUCCGGGAGAGGAUAGCGGAAUUCCUAGUGUAGAGGUGAAAUUCGUAGAUAUUAGG